rnacentral:rRNA from 1 species
AUUGAACGCUGGCGGCAGGCCUAACACAUGCAAGUCGAGCGGAUGAAGGGAGCUUGCUCCUGGAUUCAGCGGCGGACGGGCGAGUAAUGCCUAGGAAUCUGCCUGGUCGUGGGGGAUAACGUCCGGAAACGGGCGCUAAUACCGCAUACGUCCUGAGGGAGAAAGUGGGGGAUCUUCGGACCUCACGCUAUCAGAUGAGCCUAGGUCGGAUUAGCUAGUUGGUGGGGUAAAGGCCUACCAAGGCGACGAUCCGUAACUGGUCUGAGAGGAUGAUCAGUCACACUGGAACUGAGACACGGUCCAGACUCCUACGGGAGGCAGCAGUGGGGAAUAUUGGACAAUGGGCGAAAGCCUGAUCCAGCCAUGCCGCGUGUGUGAAGAAGGUCUUCGGAUUGUAAAGCACUUUAAGUUGGGAGGAAGGGCAGUAAGUUAAUACCUUGCUGUUUUGACGUUACCAACAGAAUAAGCACCGGCUAACUUCGUG